UUCAAAAUAUGUACCACCUUCAAGCCAUUCAUUCUUGUCUGAUUUUGGAAGCUAAGCAGAACCAGGCACAGUUAAUACUUGUAUGGGCAACCAUCAGAGAAUAUCAGUGAUCUUCAGAUA
rnacentral:rRNA from 1 species